UAUAAAACUCUAGAUUUAAAGCCUUUUUCCCAUAGACUUUUAUGAAAUUUUAAAGCUACAGCUUGGUAAUUGAAAAUUGGGGUGUUUUUUUUUUCAACCACAAGCUUGAUUUAUAUAUGAAAAGAAAUUACUGUUAACUCAUGCCCCCAACAGAUUAAUUUGAAAGAUGUCAUCCAUUGAUGUUUACUCUGUUGAUAUUUUUUUACUUGAACAUCUGUACAUCUAUUAGAAAUAUUUAUGUAUUAAAAUAGUACAAUGUAACAUCUUUGCUGUCUUGAUUUAAAGAUCUUGAGUGGUUUAAAAACUCCGUUCUCCAAAAAAUUGAGUAUAUCACUGGAUUUGGUAGAAUGACACCUUUGGAUGACAUCAAAGCAAAUUGUAAGCAACUACAAAGAUAUGGAUGAAAUUUGUACCAUCUUCAUUAUCAUCUUGUUGUAAAAGUAUUAAACAUUCAGCAUGUUUU
rnacentral:misc_RNA from 1 species